GAUGAACGCUAGCGGCAGGCCUAAUACAUGCAAGUCGAACGAUAUUUUCCAGCUUGCUGGGAAGGAAAGUGGCGCACGGGUGCGUAACGCGUAUGCAACCUACCUUUAUCAGGGGGAUAGCCCGGAGAAAUCCGGAUUAAUACCGCAUAAAAUCACAGAACGGCAUUGUUCAAUGAUCAAACAUUUAUGGGAUAAAGAUGGGCAUGCGUGUCAUUAGCUAGUUGGCGGGGUAACGGCCCACCAAGGCGACGAUGACUAGGGGAUCUGAGAGGAUGGCCCCCCACACUGGUACUGAGACACGGACCAGACUCCUACGGGAGGCAGCAGUAAGGAAUAUUGGUCAAUGGAGGCAACUCUGAACCAGCCAUGCCGCGUGCAGGAAGACUGCCCUAUGGGUUGUAAACUGCUCUUAUCCGGGAAUAAACCUCCGAUCGUGAUCGGAGCUGAAUGUACCGGAAGAAUAAGGAUCGGCUAACUCCGUGCCAGCCGCCGCCGUAA
rnacentral:rRNA from 1 species